AUUGAACGCUGGCGGCAUGCCUUACACAUGCAAGUCGAACGGUAACAGGUUAAGCUGACGAGUGGCGAACGGGUGAGUAAUGUAUCGGAACGUGCCCAGUCGUGGGGGACAACUACUCGAAAGAGUGGCUAAUACCGCAUACGACCUGAGGGUGAAAGCGGGGGACCGUAAGGCCUCGCGCGAUUGGAGCGGCCGAUAUCAGAUUAGCUAGUUGGUGGGGUAAAAGCCCACCAAGGCGACGAUCUGUAGCUGGUCUGAGAGGACGACCAGCCACACUGGGACUGAGACACGGCCCAGACUCCUACGGGAGGCAGCAGUGGGGAAUUUUGGACAAUGGACGCAAGUCUGAUUCAGCCAUGCCGCGUGCGGGAAGAAGGCCUUCGAGUUGUAAACCGCUUUUGUCAGGGAAGAAACGAGUUUCUCUAAUACAGAGACUUAAUGACGGUACCUGAAGAAUAAGCACCGGCUAACUACGUGCCAGCCGCCGCCGUAAUAC
rnacentral:rRNA from 1 species